UCCGUAGGGGGAACCUGCGGAGGGAUCAUUACUGAGUUUACGCUCUACAACCCUUUGUGAACAUACCUACAACUGUUGCUUCGGCGGGUAGGGUCUCCGCGACCCUCCCGGCCUCCCGCCUCCGGGCGGGUCGGCGCCCGCCGGAGGAUAACCAAACUCUGAUUUAACGACGUUUCUUCUGAGUGGUACAAGCAAAUAAUCAAAACUUUUAACAACGGAUCUCUUGGUUCUGGCAUCGAUGAAGAACGCAGCGAAAUGCGAUAAGUAAUGUGAAUUGCAGAAUUCAGUGAAUCAUCGAAUCUUUGAACGCACAUUGCGCCCGCCAGCAUUCUGGCGGGCAUGCCUGUUCGAGCGUCAUUUCAACCCUCAAGCUCUGCUUGGUGUUGGGGCCCUACAGCCGAUGUAGGCCCUCAAAGGUAGUGGCGGACCCUCCCGGAGCCUCCUUUGCGUAGUAACUUUACGUCUCGCACUGGGAUCCGGAGGGACUCUUGCCGUAAAACCCCCCAAUUUUCCAAAGGUUGACCUCGGAUCAGGUAGGAAUACCCGCUGAACUUAAGCAUAUCAAUAAGACGGAGG
rnacentral:rRNA from 1 species